UUCUUAAACUGAUUACGUUUCAUUGUUAUCUGUCAAAACUAACUUGAUAACAUACAAGGCUUCCAUCUCUUCCCGUUCUUCUCUCCGCUCACAGAAAUCUUCAUACGCCAUCCUUCCUAUUCUUCUAUCAAACAAGGGGAAAAUUAGGCAGGAUUUGGAGAGAAAAGAGAGGAGUCCUAAUUAGUUCCUAACCCAAAAGAGAUGGACGACAAUAUAAAAGGCAAUCGGCUCUGUUCAUCACAACAUCAACUUCUACUCUCUCUAUUCAAUCUUCAUUUUGAAGGAUUACAGGUGUUCUUCGUUCAAUUUUCUGGUGUUCAAUUUUCCAGGGGUUAUUGUGCAGGUCAGUGUAAUCAUCAUCGAAGCUGAGGUUUUGUUGCUGUCGUAGCUUGGACGUAGUAGGGUAUUUUGGUUCUAGUCUUCCGCUCUGUAGUGAGUGUGGAGGGUGCGUUUACUUAUUAAAUUGUUAUUCAGUUUAAUUUGUAAACACUUGGUGAUGUGAUAUUUGACUCUAGAGAACGAGUCGGUGUUAAUAUUGUAAGUUCAGUUUGUUUGUUGCUUAGUGAUGUGCUCAUAUUUUCCUAUAUUUCUUUGCCUCUUAAUCUUAGUAUUUAUGCUUAGUCCUCCUUAUUUCGAGUCAUUUAUGUUGUUAUAGUGUUUUUGUAGGUUUGUCUCAUAAAGAGAAGAAAAGAAGUUAAAAUGAGCUAACUAGGAUUAAAAGACGCCCAGGUCCCAGAAUCUGUCUGUGCAGAACAUCCAACUUCCUCGAAUUACUGGGAGUUACUCAGAUCGAAUCAGACAAUGAGCCUUAUAUCAUUGGAAAGCUACGGAUGUCAAAUUUCUGUAGAAUUUUACGGAUCUCGAUUUCGAUUCUUCUAGAGAAAGUUAUGAUUAUUUGAGUGAAGAUAGAUCGGACAGGAAAUCUGCUCGGGAAUUUACAACCAUUCGUGGAGAACUCAAGUUCCGUGGCACAAGAUCAUCAAUCCUAAUGUUUCAAGGAAGUUAAUUCAGAUGAGGAUUCAAUGAUGAACUUAUUCCUACUUCUACAAGAGAUAUUUCAAGGUUUUCCCAUUCCAAAUGAAGAAAGAAAUCUAAAUCCAAGUUUUACAAGGAAACAUGAAGCCAAAGAUGAGCAGAAAUCUUCCCUAUAUAAGGGAGCACGAAUUUACAUGAGAGAGGAGUCUCGGGAGCACAAUGUAGAUGCCUAAGGAGCGGAGACGACUCAUCCAUCUUCCCUA